AGCGCAGCUGUUUUCAGUUUAGUCUCUCUCCGUCUUUCUGUUUCUGAGUGAUUUCAGUAUUACCACACCACCGGUUACCGCUGCGGUAUACACCUUACAUGUUAUAAUAAACCCGUAUGUAGAAUCGUGCACGGCAACUUACGCGUAUGUCCGUACCACAUUAAUACACAUCCAGCAGGUA